UGGAGAGUUUGAUCCUGGCUCAGGACGAACGCUGGCGGCGUGCCUAAUACAUGCAAGUCGAACGCUUCUUUUUCCACCGGAGCUUGCUCCACCGGAAAAAGAGGAGUGGCGAACGGGUGAGUAACACGUGGGUAACCUGCCCAUCAGAAGGGGAUAACACUUGGAAACAGGUGCUAAUACCGUAUAACAAUCGAAACCGCAUGGUUUUGAUUUGAAAGGCGCUUUCGGGUGUCGCUGAUGGAUGGACCCGCGGUGCAUUAGCUAGUUGGUGAGGUAACGGCUCACCAAGGCGACGAUGCAUAGCCGACCUGAGAGGGUGAUCGGCCACAUUGGGACUGAGACACGGCCCAAACUCCUACGGGAGGCAGCAGUAGGGAAUCUUCGGCAAUGGACGAAAGUCUGACCGAGCAACGCCGCGUGAGUGAAGAAGGUUUUCGGAUCGUAAAACUCUGUUGUUAGAGAAGAACAAGGAUGAGAGUAACUGUUCAUCCCUUGACGGUAUCUAACCAGAAAGCCACGGCUAACUACGUGCCAGCAGCCGCGGUA
rnacentral:rRNA from 1 species